GACAGAGGUGCCGAGCGUUAGGCGGAAUCACUGGGCUUAAAGCGUGUGUAGGCGGAUCGUUAAGUGCCUUGUGAAAUCCCACGGCUCAACCGUGGAACUGCUUGGCAUACUGGCGAUCUUGAGCCACUUAGGGGCAACCGGAACAAACGGUGGAGCGGUGAAAUGCGUAGAGAUCGGAAAGAACACCAACGGCGAAAGCACUCUGCUGGGCCGACACUGACACUGAGAGACGAAAGCUAGGGGAGCGAAUGGG
rnacentral:rRNA from 1 species